UAGUUCGUGGAGUGAUCUGUCUGCUUAAUUGCGUUUCAAAUUUUUAACCGAGGACCGGGUUUUGGUUUGGCUAGUGGUCCUACGAUGACUGUGAACUGUCAUGUCUUCGGAUGUACGACUAUCGGUCUAGGAUCACAUGACUUGCCCCUGGGACUCUUUUGAACGCAACGGACGUGAUUGCAACCCCUUGUUGAGAUUAGAGAUAGUCUCGAUAUUCACUGGCCAAACUGGCUGCUUUAUGCAGUCUUGUUGAAUGGUGGAUAAACUCGGGGGACUGCUGACUAUAACCAUUUCUCAAAACAGAGGAAGGUUGCGGCAAUAACAGGUCUGUGAUGCCCUCAGAUGUCCCGGGCUGCACACGUGCUACAAUGAGUGGCGCAAUGUGCUAAUGUUUUAAGGGAUAAGCGUGCGGCCAGUAGAACGUCGGCAAUUGCCCUGGCGUCUUCUACCGCACGAUUAUCAGCCUUCCCUUAACAGGGCGGGCAACCUUUUCAAAAUACCGGUUUGAUGUUAAAGUAUAGAGUCGUUUUUUUUGGAUGGUGGUUUACGAACCAAUACCAUCCGCAACUGCUCGCGAGUUUGUGGUUCUGGUGACUCA
rnacentral:rRNA from 1 species